rnacentral:rRNA from 1 species
UACGGGGGGGGCAAGCGUUGUUCGGAAUUACUGGGCGUAAAGGGUUCGUAGGUGGCCUGCUAAGUCAGACGUGAAAUCCCUCAGCUUAACUGGGGAACUGCGUCUGAUACUGGUGGGCUUGAGUGCAGGAGAGGAACGCGGAAUUCCAGGUGUAGCAGUGAAAUGCGUAGAUAUCUGGAGGAACACCGGUGGCGAAGGCGGCGUUCUGGACUGCAACUGACACUGAGGAACGAAAGCCAGGGGAGCAAACGGG